ensembl:lncRNA
CCAAGACUUCUGGUCGACCAGAGUCCCUGGGCAUGUGGGAUCAUAGUUCUGCAACCAUGGAUCAAACCUGCAACCCUUUCAACCACCGCUAACCACCGGACGACCAGAGAAUGCCCUUGACUGGUGGCUUUAAGUCACUGUUUCGCUGAGCAGCAGCAGACUCCAGUUCAUUUGCAGAAACCCCAGUGACCACAGGCAUGACCCAGGAGGCCCCAGUGACCACAGCCGUGACCUGGGAGGCUGCAGAAGAGCCCGUGAAUGGCCUGAGCCAGGCCACUAUGGUGUCUGAAAAAUGGUGCUGGGCUGCAUCCGCCCACGGGAGAGACAAGAGUAGACGUGUUACGCAGAGGACUUGGGAAACUCAGCUGUCGAACCUUGCACAUCUCGCGGUGUUGCAGGAGGGGUCAGAGCCCUCUGCGUCUGCCCUCCUGGUCACUGUUCUGGGUGUGCUGGGGCCUGCCUGCUGCAAGUACCGGCAGCUCUCCACCAGAGGGCGCUCUCUGGUGUGCUUGGUUAGGGUGGGCAGGUGGAAGUUCGUGUCCCCUGAUGAUGGCGUGUGAUGGAUACACACCUCACGUCCUCUCCCUUGUCCCAAAGACUGGACAGCUCUGUGCCCUGUUGCACUGUGUCUCCCUGACUGCUCGAUGUGAUGGACCAUUAGUUGCCCCACGGGGUGUCCUGAUUCAUCUCAGCUUUUUUUAUUGGGUGCUUCCCUUCCUGGCCUGCUCUCCCCCUUCCUGUAGUGGGACCAGCUUCCAAAUAAACUAUUUACACUC